CUCAGUACAAUAACAACUCAACUUUAGCAUCACCGCUAUUUUGACAUAACCUCUUUAGCUACACAGUUUCUCUCUAUCUUUACUACUUAUUGAUGUUUUGGUUAUGUAUAAUUUUCCAGUAUCCAUUCACUUUAGAAUUGCUCUAUUAAGGAAGAUAUGACUAACUUAACUGCCUUCUUCUAUGUCUUUCAUUUCUCUUCACUUUUCAACAGAUAUCAAGAGCUAAUUCCUUGCAACACCUGAACGUUGGCGGGACAUUUAUUACCGAUGAGUCUUUAUUUGCUGUUGCAAAUAGUUGUCCAAAUUUAAAGGUGAGAUAUAUGGGAAUAUUGAACCAUUAGGAAGAACUUGAUUUUAUACUGACCUUAUUGUUUCUUCAUUUUUGCUUAGACGGUAUCAUUAUUGACUGCUAAGAUGAUUCCUUCUGUUUUCUUUAAUAAAUGGUUAUUAUACAUCUCUGCUUUCUUUUUCAGACCAUUGGCCUAUGGAGCUGUCGUCAUGUAACAGAGAUUGGGCUUCUUAAUCUUGUCGGUAAAUGUCGAAAACUGGAAUCGAUUAAUGCAUGGGGAACCAGAGUACCUGCAGACUGCUUUAUUUGUUUGCUUACUAUCAGUCCAGCCCUUCAA
rnacentral:lncRNA from 1 species